CCUACGGGAGGCAGCAGUGGGGAAUUUUGGACAAUGGGCGAAAGCCUGAUCCAGCAAUGCCGCGUGAGUGAAGAAGGCCUUCGGGUUGUAAAGCUCUUUUGUCAGGGAAGAAACGGUGCGGGCUAAUAUCCUGCACUAAUGACGGUACCUGAAGAAUAAGCACCGGCUAACUACGUGCCAGCAGCCGCGGUAAUACGUAGGGUGCAAGCGUUAAUCGGAAUUACUGGGCGUAAAGCGUGCGCAGGCGGUUUUGUAAGUCUGUCGUGAAAUCCCCGGGCUCAACCUGGGAAUUGCGAUGGAGACUGCAAGGCUAGAAUCUGGCAGAGGGGGGUAGAAUUCCACGUGUAGCAGUGAAAUGCGUAGAGAUGUGGAGGAACACCGAUGGCGAAGGCAGCCCCCUGGGUCAAGAUUGACGCUCAUGCACGAAAGCGUGGGGAGCAAACAGGAUUAGAUACCCUGGUAGUCCACGCCCUAAACGAUGUCUACUAGUUGUCGGGUUUUAAUUAACUUGGUAACGCAGCUAACGCGUGAAGUAGACCGCCUGGGGAGUACGGUCGCAAGAUUAAAACUUAAAGGAAUUGACGG
rnacentral:rRNA from 1 species